UGGGCCUCACCUGCACAACCUUACAUAGGAGAAAAGGAGGCUGGAGGGCUGGGACAUGAUCCAACAACAGAACACAGUUAUGCCACCGUGACAUCCAGUUAUCAUCGUUUUCAUUCCAACUGUCAAAUUAGCCAAAUGUGUCAAGGCUGAAACGCUUCACGCUCAUAAAUUAUGGCCUCGCUUGAAAACUUUUAUUUUUUUAGUAAUAUCACGAUUGCAAGCUUGCCAACAAGCAGACACAAACAGGAAAUCAAAAGCCCGUCACCACGGCGACCACAAACGCUGUGAUUUUGUUUUGAAAGGAAAAGACAAGCUAGCAAAGAUCAACAGAUGGCACGGGUGGAGAUCAGUCACUCUGCUGGCCUCCCUGAUGAUGCUCGCCCGCUUCAUUCCAGACAUAUACGCGCACACACAUGGAUGAAGAGACAGAGCAGCAGAGGCCGCAGAGGGUCUUAAAGCAGCCCACGCUCUUCCUGCUAUUGUUUCAUCUCAGGGACCCUUCGCAAGGGCUAAUAUCCACUCGUCUGGCUGUUCUGUUACCAUGGCGAUAGAAGCCCCUUUACAAACUCCCUAAACAAGAGGCAUUUAUGAACGGUACUGACACGGAAUGAGGUUACUAAGUCGAGCGGGCAAUUUGGAAGAGGUAGUCAGGCUGAAAAUUUUACACCUUCUAAACAGUCAAAAAACAAAACCCACUUUCACCCUGCCUGUUAAAAAAAAAAAAAAAGUCUAUUUUUCACAUCGUUUUAUACGAACGGUACUGACAUCAAACUGGGUGACAAAGUCGAUGGGACAAUUUUCUGCUGUUGGAAGUCCUUGAAAUGAAAGUCCUGUUUUUCCGUUUUGUAUUCUGAGCAAUGUUGACGGCGGGAUUGUAUGGCGGUGGGCUUACCUUGUGACAUGUGUGCUUUAAGCAGGAUUGCUAAAUUCCUUAAGGCCUUCAGCUGCUUUAGGAGAGGCUGGGAGAAGGGCCUGGCAUCUGCUGCUCACUCUCCUGGCUCCAAACUAAGUGAAAACAAUUCAGUGCUAUUAAUGAAAUGCUGACUUGGUUGAAGAAGAAAAACCACAAUGCCACACAAAAAUUUACUUUUACGAGUAAUAAUAAUAAUCAUGUCAGAGCCAGAUCGUUCGGUUUCUCUUUUGGACACACUCCCUAAAACUGGACCAUCAUCUCGUGUAAUGUCAUGAGAUUUCUUCUAACCUUGUAAUAUAAGAAAUCCAAUAGGUAAACGGAGGUGCAGUGAGUUUUGUUGGAGGCACAGAUUAGCGCGAGCUAGCAAGGUUAGCACACAUGAUUUUCAGAGGAAUGAAAAGCUUACUGGCCAUUGGCCCUAAUACUUUUUCUUAGAAUGGGCUAAUUUCAACAAGACAAAAGAUAAGGUGCGGUUAUUUUUGAUGAAACCAUGUUACAGUCAAAAACUUGAAACAGUAAAUAUUGUGAAAUAAGGCGUAAUGUCUUCAAGAAAAAGACUCAAAUCACAUUGUUAAGCAAAUACUUGAUUAGCGUCGGAUUAAUCUCGCGUUAGUUCACAAAGAGGAAAGCUUUACCAGAACUGAUGAUUACAUAAACGCACAGACAAAAGGGGCUAUACAAGCCAUUUCUAUUUUUAACCUCUGCUUUCAAAUAUCCUGCUUUGGGAUUAGGCAUCAUUUGAAGGGGCCAACGCACAUUGCUGCCCAGCAAGCGCAGUAGCACGGGUUGCUGUGAC